AUGCGGUGGACAAGCACCGUGCUCACACAGGAGGGAGAGAGAUGGGCCCAAUGCUACGAAGGUCCAGACCACACAGCUGACUCUGUCUCCAGCCUUCAGCGCAUGUCGCAGGUCCCAGUAACCCCAGGCGAAGAGGGCACGAGAAGGGUUGUGUCUCCAUCUGCGGCCAGGGCAGGACCUGUCAGGAAUCCGGUGUAUGUUCUGUGGAGGGGCUCAGGCUGCUGGGCUCACGGGUAUUAUACAGCAUUCUACAAGCAUCACGUCCAGGAGAAGCAAGGGUAGCAUAGAGAGUCCAGGAAUGUGCCCAAGACCAAAGGCUUCUAACUGGCAGAACUGCAGUGGGUGUGAGAUCAUCCCAGAGAUCCCAGUGGCACUGUUCUGGGAACCCAGUGAGAUGGCAUCUGGGCUCUCUGACAACUUAUCCAAGAGAGGGGCCACCUUCCCCAAGGAAAGCUGUUCCUAAGGCUGAGAUAGGACCUAAGGGCUGGGGCCCCCAUGCCCACCAUAUAUAAAAGCCAAGCUUUGCACCCACUCUAUGGAGCUGCAAGGACAGAAACCUCAUCCAAAAAAUAAGGAGCUAAAGACUGGUAUCUGUGCUGGCUGAAUCUCUUAUCUCCUCUAGGGAUCCCUGGGCUGUGGUAAGGCCAAGGAGCACCAGUCCAGGAGGAACCUUGUCUCCUUCCUGUCCUCUCCCUGGAGGGAGCCAGGGCACAUGGUCAACCCAUGAGCAAAAUGGAAGGUGAAAAAUAUGGGCACAUAAGCUAAGGUUCGG
rnacentral:lncRNA from 1 species